rnacentral:rRNA from 1 species
GAUGAACGCUGGCGGCGUGCCUAAUACAUGCAAGUCGAGCGGACGGACGAGAAUCUUGCUUCUCUGAUGUUAGCAGCGGGCGGGUGAGUAACACGUGGAUAACCUACCUAUAAGACUGAGAUAACUUCGGGAAACCGGAGCUACUACCGGAUAAUAUUUUUAACCGCAUGGGUCAAAAGUGAAAGACGGUCUUGCUGUGACUUCGAGAUGGAUCCGCGCUUCAUUUGCGAGUUGGUAAGGUAACGGCUUACCAAGGCACCGAUGCCUAGCCGACCGUAGAGGGGGAACGGCCACACGGGAACUGAGCCACGGUCCAGACUCCUACGGGAGGCAGCAGUACCGAAUGGUCCGAGAUGUGCGGAAGCUUGCCCGAGCAGUGCCGGGUGAGUGAUGAAGGGCUGUGUGUCGGAUAACUCCGUUAUUGGUGAAGAACAUAUGUGCAAGUGACUGAGCUCAUCUUGACGGUACCUAAUCAGAAAGCACCGGCUAACUACGUG